GUGCCAGCCGCCGCGGUAACACGUAGGGGACGAGCGUUGUCCGGAUUCAUUGGGCGUAAAGCGCGCGUAGGCGGCCCAGAAAGUCGGUUGUGAAAGCCCGGGGCUCAACCCCGGGACUGCAUCCGAUACUCCUGGGCUGGAGGUAGGUAGGGGAGAUCGGAAUUCCUGGUGUAGCGGUGAAAUGCGCAGAUAUCAGGAGGAACACCGGUGGCGAAGGCGGAUCUCUGGGCCUUACCUGACGCUGAGGCGCGAAAGCUAGGGGAGCGAACAGGAUUAGAUACCCUGGUAGUCCUAGCCGUAAACGUUGGGUGCUAGGUGUGGGCGGACAUCGACCCCGUCCGUGCCGAAGCUAACGCAUUAAGCACCCCGCCUGGGGAGUACGGCCGCAAGGCUAAA
rnacentral:rRNA from 1 species